CCCUUAGAUGUCCGGGGCUGCACGCGCGCUACACUGAAUGAAUCAGCGUGCUAGAAAACCUUGUUUGACAUGGCUAGGUAACCCAUUGAAAAUCAUUCGUGAUUGGGAUCGGGACUUGCAAAUGUGUCCCUUGAACGAGGAAUUCCCAGUAAGUGCGGGUCAUCAGCUCGCGUUGAUUACGUCCCUGCCCUUUGUACACACCGCCCGUCGCACCUACCGAUUGAAUGGUCCGGUGAAAUCUCCGGACUGGCGUGAGUCGGAGCAAUCUGACAAACACCGGAAAGUUGAUUAAACCUUACCAUUUAGAGGAAGGUGAAGUCGUAACA
rnacentral:rRNA from 1 species